rnacentral:rRNA from 1 species
AUUGAACGCUGGCGGCAGGCCUAACACAUGCAAGUCGAAUGGUAACAGGAAACAGCUUGCUGUUUCGCUGACGAGGGGCGGACGGGUGAGUAAUGUCUGGGAAACUGCCUGAUGGAGGGGGAUAACUACUGGAAACGGUAGCUGAUACCGCAUAACGUCGCAAGACCAAAGAGGGGGACCUUCGGGCCUCUUGCCAUCAGAUGUUCCCAGAUGGGAUUAGCUAGUAGGUGGGGUAACGGCUCACCUAGGCGACGAUCCCUAGCUGGUCUGAGAGGAUGACCAGCCACACUGGAACUGAGACACGGUCCAGACUCCUACGGGAGGCAGCAGUAGGGAAUAUUGCACAAUGGGCGCAAGCCUGAUGCAGCCAUGCCGCGUGUAUGAAGAAGGCCUUCGGGUUGUAAAGUACUUUCAGCGGGGAGGAAGGGAGUAAAGUUAAUCCCUUUGCUCAUUGACGUUACCCGCAGAAGAAGCACCGGCUAACUCCGUG